UAGGGAAUCUUCCGCAAUGGACGAAAGUCUGACGGAGCAACGCCGCGUGGGUGAUGAAGGCUUUCGGGUCGUAAAACUCUGUUGUUAGGGAAGAACAAGUACAAGAGUAACUGCUUGUACCUUGACGGUACCUAACCAGAAAGCCACGGCUAACUACGUGCCAGCAGCCGCGGUAAUACGUAGGUGGCAAGCGUUAUCCGGAAUUAUUGGGCGUAAAGCGCGCGCAGGCGGUUUCUUAAGUCUGAUGUGAAAGCCCACGGCUCAACCGUGGAGGGUCAUUGGAAACUGGGGAACUUGAGUGCAGAAGAGAAAAGCGGAAUUCCACGUGUAGCGGUGAAAUGCGUAGAGAUGUGGAGGAACACCAGUGGCGAAGGCGGCUUUCUGGUCUGUAACUGACGCUGAGGCGCGAAAGCGUGGGGAGCAAACAGGAUUAGAUACCCUGGUAGUCCACGCCGUAAACGAUGAGUGCUAAGUGUUAGAGGGUUUCCACCCUUUAGUGCUGCAGCUAACGCAUUAAGCACUCCGCCUGGGGAGUACAGUCGCAAGACUG
rnacentral:rRNA from 1 species